ACCACAAGUCACGGCAGACGACAAAAAAUUUUGGAGAAAUUUGUAUAAUUUGGCAACGCUGCGUGAAGUGCAAUAGCUACUUUUGACAGUUGGAGUACUUCACGUAUGAAGUACAAUAUACGCGACCAAAUUUUAUUUUAGAACAAAUAUUCUCCGCUGCCUUAGAAGUGCUACCGAUACUUCUUUUGGUUGGAAAGCAGAAGAAAAAGUUGAAUCAAUAUUUUAUUGAUUGCAGAGAAGAUUCCGUUAAUAUAACGUCUGCUAUACAAGAAAUUGGCAGGUUAUCUCCUUACAUUAUGAAAUGUGGCAAUUCAUUUCACAUUAGAGCUGGGAAGGCUCCCUUUCUGUACAUUCCAAAUUCAGUCGAAGCCCUGACAUCAUUGAUAGCCGUUUACUACGUCUUCGAUCUACAGUGGGGCAAGGAGGCGAUGACCGUCCUGCUCUUUAUAGAAUCGGAAGUUAUCGGGUGGAAAUCUAAACAAUCCAAAUGUUGAAACGCCGUAAAUCUUCUGAAGAACCUCCUGCGCUAAAUCACAGGGAGCCUGGUCUUAAUUUUGUUUUUAUCUAAAUGUUGGGUUUUAAAAACUGACAACAUUGAAUGUCAAACUCAGUUACCCUUGAUAGAGGGAAUGGGCAAUGUGUACUCGAAUUGGUUAACGAACGCACCUUGGUGUACGAAGAUAGCUCUUGCGGCUGAAAUUCUCGUUUGUUUCUUAAAACAAACAUGUUUUCCAGCCGCAAUUUCUCUCAUCAAACAGCAAGUUGCGUUCGUUAACCAAUGCGAGUACGCGUUGUUCGCUUCCUCUAUAAGCGGAUCUUGUCCUUCCUAAAUCUAGAUGCUUUUUAUUAUGUGUAAUUCGAUUAUUUGCAAUAAAAAAAAUGUUUGUCUUGGUUAAAUAAAGAAACCUUUGUUAUUUUA